AGCUUUAAAUAGCUUGCUUGGGGUGACCUUUCACGCAACCGACUGUGUAAUACUGUUUGUUGUAUCAUCAAAGUCAAGGUCAGCU